rnacentral:pre_miRNA from 14 species
CCCACCAGAGCCUUCCACCUGGGGUUCCAUUCGUAUGAGUUUCAUGGACUUUCCCUACAGCUCUAUGACACUGAGUGCGGAGUGGAACCCCUAUGGAUAAUAGUUCUUUGAU